rnacentral:rRNA from 1 species
CAGCCGCCACGGGAAUACGAAGGGUGCAAGCGUUGAUCGGAAUUACUGGGCGUAAAGCGUGCGUAGGCGGUGAGUUAAGUCUGCUGUGAAAUCCCCGGGCUCAACCUGGGAAUGGCAGUGGAUACUGGCAAGCUAGAGUGUGUCAGAGGAUGGUGGAAUUCCCGGUGUAGCGGUGAAAUGCGUAGAGAUCGGGAGGAACAUCAGUGGCGAAGGCGGCCAUCUGGGACAACACUGACGCUGAGGCACGAAAGCGUGGGGAGCAAACAGGAUUAGAUACCCGGGUAGUCCCUGUCUCUUAUAC